rnacentral:rRNA from 1 species
GACGAACGCUGGCGGCGUGCUUAACACAUGCAAGUCGAACGCUGAAGCUUGGUGCUUGCACUGGGUGGAUGAGUGGCGAACGGGUGAGUAAUACGUGAGUAACCUGCCCUUGACUCUGGGAUAAGCCUGGGAAACUGGGUCUAAUACUGGAUAUGACAUGCCACUGCAUGGUGGUGUGUGGAAAGGGUUUUACUGGUUUUGUAUGGGCUCACGGCCUAUCAGCUUGUUGGUGGGGUAAUGGCCUACCAAGGCGACGACGGGUAGCCGGCCUGAGAGGGUGACCGGCCACACUGGGACUGAGACACGGCCCAGACUCCUACGGGAGGCAGCAGUGGGGAAUAUUGCACAAUGGGCGGAAGCCUGAUGCAGCGACGCCGCGUGAGGGAUGACGGCCUUCGGGUUGUAAACCUCUUUCAGCACGGAAGAAGCGAGAGUGACGGUACGUGCAGAAGAAGCGCCGGCUAACUACGUG